rnacentral:misc_RNA from 1 species
UAAAUUUCCUUACCAACAUAACAUUAAAAUGGGUCUGAUCAUGUACCAAACGAAGAGGGCGCACUUAAAAAAGAUCCUGAAAAAAUAACUGUAAACAGAAAGCAAGUCAUUCUCUUUGAAAUUCUAUAAAAUAAUGGUUUACAAAAAUGUAACAUUAUGUAUAUGAUUGUGAUACAUCAUUACAUCAAGGAUGAAAUAAAAUUUAACAGAAAGCUCCACUGCCUGCAAAAUCCACACUUAACUUGCAAGUGUGUGUGUACAGUAAACCACUUUUAUCCAGAAAAAAGUUGCAUGGUGUAUUAUGGUUAUCCAGCAACCCCUCUUUACAAAUGAUUUCCACCAGCACGCCCAUUCCCCAACCCUCCAAGGAGAAAAUGAAAAAUGGAGAAGUCCCCCUAACAUAUGCGGUCUUGCCAUGGCUGUAAGCAAGCCCUUGCAUAUACUGACAAACUCAAAGAAUACAAGUCGGCAUUUCGCAGUUCUGAGUUACCCCGAGCAGCUUAAUGUUAGAGCAAAAUGGUGCUAAUCCUCUGUUGGCUGGAAUGAAGUUCUAUUAGUUUCAUUUUAAAAGGUUUAUGUUGUCGACAAAAAAGGCCUGCCUCGCUUCAUACUAUCUUCUCAUUGGAAAGCAGAAAGGUGUGUGAGUUGACUAAUCAUCAUCCUUAGUUAUGGACGAAAAUGAGAAAGGUCUGAACUUGUAGUCAUCACCAUGGUAGAACUUAUUUUGGAAUUCCACCCAAUGAAGACGCAAUGCGUGUAGGAAUGCACUAAGGGUCUCCAUCAUGAGUAGUACGAAGGCAGUGGCAAAGGCAAAAACUGCAAGCCCCACUAACCGGAUGAUGAUAUUAUCAUACCCCCAAGCAAGGAGGAGGACUUUCUCAUAGAAAACAGUAGACAACUCGGAAUGCGCCAAACUCAAAGCCCAAAGCCGAAGGUAUGAUGCCGUAUUUGAGACUGCACCUAGAACGAACUCUAUGGAGUGUAUCAUUUGGUGCACAAACACCUCACUGAAAUUAAAAUCAUCGUGAUGUGGUGGUGCAGAACCAGGUUCCAUAUCAAGAUCUAUCUCAGAGGUGCCAAGAAUCCCAUAGGUGCGACCUUGAAAUCUCUCCAUAUGACGCUUCUUCAAAAUAAAAGGUUUAGGGAGCAGCAUCCAAGGAACUGCAAUUAAUGCCAAAAGUAACAACAGGAUCUGCAGUGGUCUCUCGCCCCAAAACAACUGAUUCUCACCAAGAUCAUCAGUGGGACUUAAAAACAUGUAAAUCAUCACAUGAUAAAGGUCUGCCUGAGAACCAGAGCACCACUUGAUGACAAUGAGGAGCGAAAGGUACCCAAAAAGGCAGUUCAAGAAGAUUAUCUGCGGCACAAACUGAUACCUUAUAUCUAGCGAGUUGCCAAAAAAGCGUGCGUUGAAAUAACUUAAUAUGAUUCCUAGGUUCAUCUGGGCCACACCCAACAAUAUAGACAUCUUCAUCUUGAGGGAGUUCAAAAAUGGCAGUUCUGAACGACUUCCACGCCAACUGGGAUCCACACCAAAUGGGUAUGGAUCUCGGUAUUUCAUUAAACCAGCUAUGUGUGCAUCACUGCAAGUGGUGUCUCGGCAUUUGUAAGCAGACCCACCAAAUAUGUGAAAAGGAACAGAAAAGAAUUCAUUGUAAAUGAGCACACAGUAAAUUGAAAAAAGUGCCAUUAGAAGUAGUACAUAGCGCCCACCAAAAAGCAUCUCCAUAAAACUUCCAAGUUUCUGAUAGGAAUCACAUAUGCAAUUUUUAAGUACUUAAGGCUUGUGCCAAACAUAAAAAUCAGAAAGAAUAGUUUAUAAAAUUGUUACAAAAAUGACACUCUAGGACUUUAUCAAUUAGAUAAGACGGAAAAAAAAUGGCAAAAAAUAAAUAAUACGAGCACACAAGAUUUUGAUGUGGUUCAACUGCAAGGCUUAAGUCCAUAGGUAAAGAUGACAAAAAAAAAAUUCCACUAAGAAAAUAGGAGAUAUACAAAGGCAUUCAAAUUGCUCUCAACCCAAUUGACCAACUACACCCAAAACUUACUCCCACUAACUCUCACAAGUUUGAGUGUUUGUAUUUUUUUUCCUCAUCACUCUUGGCUAAUAAGCUCCACUCACUUUGCUGCUCUUCCCUUCAAAUGCCAUGAGUGAUGUGGCUAUUUAUAGCCAUGCAAUACCUGCCGCACAAGUUGAAUGAGUAGGCUCUCCACACCAAAUUAUUGGCCGUCAAGUAUACAACUUGGCCACUACUCCAAGUUUGGUGACCGAGCUUCUUCCUGUAACAAGCUUCCAAAUGUGGGUUGCACUUCUUUAAAAAUUUGGGCUAUUUUCUUCCAAAUUCAUGAGCGGGUUAUGGAUUUUAUUUCAAUGGUCCAUCAAUUCAAAACACAUUCAAACAAAUCUCUGCAUUGACUUGUGAAAAAAGAAGAAUACAGGAGAAGAUUGUAAGUGAAUUGUAGAGCUUAAUUAUUCCCUCAAGCUAAUUGGGAUUUAUAUAGCUUUAUAGAAGUUUACAAGAUAGGAAAAUACAGAUUUUUACAUAUCCUAGUAAUAAUCACAAGAUUGCAGCAGCUAAUUAGGAAGAUUAGGUGCAUGAGAUAAGGUAAGAAUCCUAACAAAUCAAGGCCAGUAUCUCAACAUAUCUCAACACUCCCCCUCAAACUGGAGCAUACAUAUCGUAUGCUCUAAGCUUGUUACAAAUGUAUUUGAUUUGAGCACCUUGAAGAGACUUAGUGAGAACAUAUGCUAACUGAUCAAUUGAGUUAACAAAAGUGGUAGCAAUACACCCCGAUUCAAUCUUUUAUUUAAUAAAGUGACAAUCCAAUCCUAUAUGUUUUGUUUUUUCAUGGAAAACUGGAUUUGGGCAGCUUGAUUGUCACAUAUUAAUCUCAUUUGCUUAACUUCUCCACAUCUUAGUACUUAAAGAAGUAGUUUUAACCAGAUAAGUUCACAAGUAGUUAAGGUCAUAGCUCGAUAUUCUGCUUCUGCACUUGACCUAGCAACCACAUCUUGCUUCUUACUUUUCCAAGAAAUCAAAUUACCUCCAAUCAUAAUGCAAUAUCCUGAAGUAGACCAUCUGUCUGAAGGAGAACCUGCCCAAUCUGCAUCUGAGUAACCAAUAAUCUGUGAAUGACCCCUGUCUUCAUAUAAUAGGCCUUGUCCUGGAGCUCCUUUAAUAUAUCUGAGUAUCCGAAUAACUGCAUCCCAAUGACUACUACAUGGUGCUUGAAGGAACUGACUGACCACACUUACAGCAAAUGAGAUGUCUGGGCGUGUGAUUGUAAGAUAAUUGAGUUUUCCAACCAAUCUCCGGUAUCUACCAGGAUCCUCCAAUGGCUCCCCCUGUCCAGGAACAAGUUUGACAUUUGGAUCCAUAGGAGUAUCUGCGUGUCUACAGUCUAACAUGCCCGUCUCUGUCAGUAUAUCCAAAGCAUAUUUCCUUUGACAAAUGGCAAUACUUGUCUUGGAUUGAGUUUUGAGAUCCCAACACUUCAAUCCCCAAGAAAUACUUUAGCUUCCCAAGAUCCUUAGUCUGAAAAUGACUGGACAAGUGUUGUUUGAGUUUUGAGAUCCCAACAUGAUCAUUUCCUGUAAUAACAAUGUCAUCAACAUAAACAACGAGAUAAAUGCACUUAUCAUGGCCAUUAUGGUGGAAAAAUACUGAAUGGUCAGCUUCACUCCGAGACAUUCCAAAUUGUUGGACUACAGUACUGAACCGUCCAAACCAUGCUCUCGGAGAUUGUUUCAAGCCAUAUAAAGAACGCCGUAGGCGACACACCAAACCAGACUCCCCCUGAGCAACAAACCCUGGUGGUUGCUCCAUAUAAACUUCCUCAGCUAGCUUGCCAUGUAAAAAGGCAUUUUUGAUAUCCAGUUGAUGAAGUGGCCAGUGAUGGAUGGCAGCUAAGGAAAUAAGAAGGCGAACCGAGGCAAUCUUAGCCACAGGAGAGAAGGUAUCACUGUAAUCGAGGCCAAAGAUCUGAGUAUAGCCCUUUGCAACAAGGCGAGCUUUAAGUCUAUCAAUCUGGCCAUCAGGCCCCACCUUGACUGUAUAAACCCAUCGACAGCCAACAGUAGAUUUGCCCUUCGGUAGUGGCACCAAAUCCCAAGUGCCAUUGUUAUGGAGAGCAGUCAUCUCUUCAACCAUUGCAUUACACCAUCCUGGAUGUUCCAAAGCUUCUCUAACAGUCUUAGGUACAGAUACAUUAGACAAAGUGGUGACAAAAGCAUAGUAGGAAGGAGACAAACGAUGAUAACUCACAAAAUUAUAAAUAGGAUGAGGAUUUCGAGACGAACGAAUACCUUUUCGGAUGGCAAUGGGAGGAGUAGCAUCGUCUGUUGAAGGCGAGACCGGAAUAGGUGAAGAUGAAGGAGGGCGAGAGUCACCAGGAGCCAGUGUUGUAUCUGUAUCAAGCAAAGGAGCAUCAAUGGUGUUAGUGGGAGGAUGAGGACGACGUGAGUAGACGUGUAGAGGUGGUGGACUGAUUGGUGGUGGAGGAAGAGUAGGAACUGGUAAGGCGGUGGGAAUAAAAACCUUGGAUGCGGUGUUGGAGGAAAAAUAGGGAGAUGUUUCAAAGAAGGUUACAUCAGCUGACACAAAGUAUUUAUUUGUAAGUGGAUUGUAGCAUUUGUAACCUUUUUGAAGUCUAGAAUAUCCCAAAAAGACACAUUUUAUUGAUUUGGGCUGAAGUUUGUCUUUGCCAGGAGUGUGAUCAUGAACAAAACAAAUACAACCAAAUACACGCAGGGACAACUGAUGGGCAUCUUGGUCGGGAAACAAAAUGGAAUGAGGACUCUGAUUCUGCAAAACAGAAGAAGGCAUUCGGUUAAUUAAGUAACAAGCAGUAAGAAUAGCAUCUCCCCAAAAACGAAGAGGAACAUUAUGGUGAAUGAGUAAAGUGCGGGCAGUCUCAACUAGAUGACGAUUCUUUCGUUCGGCAACCCCAUUUUGUUGAGGGGUAUAAGCACAUGAAGUUUGGUGAGUAAUACCCUGAGAAGAUAAGAAAUGAGUAAAGGGAGUAGACAAAUAUUCUUUUGCAUUGUCACUACGAAGUAUUUUAAUAGAAACACCAAAUUGAUUACGUAUUUCAGUAGAGAAUUUUUGAAAUAUAGAGAAUAAUUCAGAAUGAGUCUUCAUUAAAAAUAAUCAAGUGCAACGAGAAU